rnacentral:rRNA from 1 species
UGCCAGCCGCCGCGGUAAUACAGAGGGUCCAAGCGUUGAUCGGAAUCACUGGGCUUAAAGGGUUCGCAGGCGGCUCGGUAAGUAUGUUGUGAAAUCCCACGGCUCAACCGUGGAAUUGCUUCGUAGACUGCCGAGCUUGAGCACGACAGGGGCCAUCAGAACGAUAGGUGGAGCGGUGAAAUGCGUAGAUAUCUAUCGGAAUGCCAAAGGUGAAGACAGAUGGCUGGGUCGUCGCUGACGCUCAGGAACGAAAGCAUGGGUGGCGAACGGGAUUAGAUA